AACGAACGCUGGCGGCAGGCUUAACACAUGCAAGUCGAGCGCCCCGCAAGGGGAGCGGCAGACGGGUGAGUAACGCGUGGGAAUCUACCCAUCUCUACGGAACAACUCCGGGAAACUGUAGCUAAUACCGUAUACGUCCUUCGGGAGAAAGAUUUAUCGGAGAUGGAUGAGCCCGCGUUGGAUUAGCUAGUUGGUGGGGUAAUGGCCUACCAAGGCGACGAUCCAUAGCUGGUCUGAGAGGAUGAUCAGCCACACUGGGACUGAGACACGGCCCAGACUCCUACGGGAGGCAGC
rnacentral:rRNA from 1 species